rnacentral:rRNA from 1 species
AAUGAACGCUGGCGGCGUGCCUAACACAUGCAAGUCGAACGAGAAAGCCUGGUUUCGGCUGGGCGAGUAAAGUGGCGCACGGGUGAGUAACGCGUAGGCAACCUACCCCUGUAUUUGGGAUAACAGUGCGAAAGCGCUGCUAAUACCGGAUACGAUGCAUUCACGGGAGUGAAUGGAUGAAAGUCAGCCACUCGGAGAAGCUGACGUACGGGGAUGGGCCUGCGUCCUAUCAGCUAGUUGGUGAGGUAACGGCUCACCAAGGCGACGACGGGUAGCUGGUCUGAGAGGAUGAUCAGCCACACUGGCACUGGAACACGGGCCAGACUCCUACGGGAGGCAG